AACGAACGCUGGCGGCAGGCUUAACACAUGCAAGUCGAGCGAGACCUUCGGGUCUAGCGGCGGACGGGUGAGUAACGCGUGGGAACGUGCCCUUCUCUACGGAAUAGCCCCGGGAAACUGGGAGUAAUACCGUAUACGCCCUUUGGGGGAAAGAUUUAUCGGAGAAGGAUCGGCCCGCGUUGGAUUAGGUAGUUGGUGGGGUAAUGGCCCACCAAGCCGACGAUCCAUAGCUGGUUUGAGAGGAUGAUCAGCCACACUGGGACUGAGACACGGCCCAGACUCCUACGGGAGGCAGCAGUGGGGAAUCUUAGACAAUGGGGGCAACCCUGAUCUAGCCAUGCCGCGUGAGUGAUGAAGGCCUUAGGGUUGUAAAGCUCUUUCAGCUGGGAAGAUAAUGACGGGACCAGCAGAAGAAGCCCCGGCUAACUCCGU
rnacentral:rRNA from 1 species